rnacentral:misc_RNA from 1 species
AUCCUUAUCGCCUGUACGUCCGUCCAGCGCUUGCCGGACUCGCGCCGCCGUCCCCAGCAGAUUUUUAGCCGCCGCCCUCGCCCUGGAUAAGAACCGCGCGCAGCCCAGCUGCUUCUUCUUCCCUGGUACCCGUGCGCAGUCCUGGAGAUUUUUCUCACGGAGCUUAUCUCCUUCUUGCAGCGCUCGGUGCCCAGCCGUGGAGCUUGCCGCACCGUCGCCCAGCUCCUUCUCGACUUCUCUCUGGCUCGCCGCUCGCCCAUGGGAGUCGCGUCCCGGCCAAGCCCCCAGCCCGGAUCCCCUAUUUCUCUCCCUGCGCGCGCGUCUCCAGUUCCAUGGCCGCACCCGGUUCCUUGCUCCAUCCCUGGGCGGAGCUCCUCUCUGCUCGGCGCUUUGCUGCUCGCCCAGCCAAGCUUCUUUUCCGCACGCAGGCUCCUCCCAUGGUGCUCGCGCGUCACCUCUGGCUCCCCUGGGUGCCGCAGUCGCCCCAGCUCUCUUUGCUCCUUUCCAGAUCCCUGUGUCGCGCGCUGCCGUCCUCUGCUCGAAGCUCCCGUGGCGCGCAUCUCCUCUAUCUCUCCCUCAGCUCGCUCCCGGCCGAGCUCCUCCCUCGCCCAUGGUCGCGGUGCUCCAAGUUCAGAGCUCACGCGGUCCUCUGUCCCUGCUUGCCCUCUGCCUGCUUCCAUGGCGUCGUGGCUUCCCAUCUCUCUCCCUCGCAUUUUCCUCUGUCUGCCAUGAACGUAGGAGUUCUUCUGUUCGGCCCCAGCUCGAUUUAGUCUUCAGCUGUCUGCGCACGCGCAGCUCGCUCUUACUUUAUUUGCCGCGCGCACGAAUUUUAUCUGCUCGCCACAGCAUCAUCGCUUGUGUCGCAAGCUCGUUAGCCACAGUUAUCUUAACCGCGUCAGCACGUGACCGUGGUCGUGUUCGUCGAGUUCGCCAACACUAUGUUGUCGAUUCGACUAUCGUCGCUGUUAUAUGCCUCGUUGCAUGCUCGCCGAGUGUUGUCGGUACCUCAGCAUUUGUGCUUGCCGCUGGCUCGUGUUAACGCUCGCGCGCCUGCUCGUUAUCACUGCGUCGCACUCACUCUUUGUCCAUCAGGCUUCACGCGUGCUCGCGUUUGUCGUCGAGCUGUUGAACCCGUCCUCCCUUGCUCGUGACUUCAUCGUCGCUAGAACCCUCACUAAAUUCGUGUCCUCGCCAGCUCACUCCAUAUUCAAUCUCGUCGUCGUUCCGCGCGUCAGCAAAAAAUCUUAAUAGUCGGGUGAAGACGGAGCCAACAGCAUGGUGUUCAUCAAGUGCGCGACAAAAAGCUCGGACAUCCUAGCAACUCAAGUUUGAUUCGUCAGAAUUAUUCAGUCGAGAAAAAGAUCUUCAGCAAUUGAUUACCGAAGAAAAGAAGACCCCUGGAUGACGUCAACCGAAAACCGUCGUCGUGCUUGCGACUAUCGCGUCAAAUUAGACAGGGUAUGAUAAAUAAUCGCGUGAUGCGGAAGACAAGCCAAGUCGACCUCAAGCGUGGGCUAAUCCGCGGGAUGAUGCUGAUGGACGAAUCGGAAGAUGGAUAAUCUGAACAAUGCCAACACAAAAGGCUGAUCGUCAAGUGGUUGUCGUCUAACAACACUAACCUAGUGUUACCCAGGC